CCAAUAGCGUAUAUUAAAGUUGUUGCAGUUAAAAAGCUCGUAGUUGAACCUUAGGCCCGUGCGGGCGGUCCGUCCUCUGGGCGAGCACUGCUCCGUCGCGGGUCUCACCUUCUGGCGAGCGUGGAUGCCAUUUAUUUGGUGUCCGCGGGAACCAGGACCUUUACCUUGAAAAAAUUAGAGUGCUCAAAGCGGGCUCCGACGCUUGAAUACAUUAGCAUGGAAUAAUGAAAUAGGACGAUGGUUCUAUUUUGUUGGUUUCCGGGACCGUCGUAAUGAUUAAUAGGGAUAGUUGGGGGCAUUCGUAUUCAAUUGUCAGAGGUGAAAUUCUUGGAUUUAUUGAAGACGAACUACUGCGAAAGCAUUUGCCAAGGAUGUUUUCAUUAAUCAAGAACGAAAGUUGGGGGAUCGAAGACGAUCAGAUACCGUCAUAGUCUCAACCAUAAACUAUGCCGACUGGGAAUCGGGCGAUGUUACUUUUCUGACUCGCUCGGCGCCCCGAG
rnacentral:rRNA from 1 species